rnacentral:lncRNA from 1 species
AAAAGUCAUUUCAAACUGCUUGCUUAACACUAAUGACCUGCUUGGUUUAACAGUUUUCAGCGUGUAAAUCCAAUAAGAAAGAAAAACAAACCUGCUUUAAUGGAGGUGUUGAGCACAUCUGUGUAUGGCUGAUGUCCCUGAGGAUAAAGAUGUACUAUUGCUUUCUUUUGUAGUGUGAUUGCUCCUGAAUGUGUUAUUAGCCAAACAUUAUAUUUGAGAAAUACAAAUAAAUAGAUCAUUUUUAGUAUGGAAAUCUUUUCCCUUCCUUUGUGCAAUGGAGCAUAUUAUUUGCCUUACCUCAAAGCUUCAUACAAUUUAGCUGAGAGGCAUACUUUUUUGAGGAUUUUUUGUUAUCCUUCUCUUUCUGAAUAUAAAAUAUGUAUUAAAACUGAGGUCAUGUCUUAAUUUGUUGAGUUAACCAUCCCAACAGAACUAUGAUUAAUGCAUAACUUCCUGCCAGUUAACUGGGGUACCAUUUCAUGAUGUGAUCAUCUGUUUUGGUAUAAUCCACAGACCUAUAAUUUGUAAGGCAGAGUUUGAAACAGUUUGCACAGAGUAAUCUGCAAAUGGCUUCCUGUGCACUAAAGAAAGGAAGGCCUUGUUGCAAGGCUCUGCUUGGAUAUGAUGAUGAUGAACAGAAAAACAUCACUACAGUCAGAAGCAGGUUGGAAACCAGAGUGCUGACACAGGGAGUUCCUGAUACAAUCUGUGGCAGGGAGCAAGCCAAAAAGCUAUCUGUAGAUGUGCUGGUAUUCCUUUGUGAGAAGUUGG